rnacentral:rRNA from 1 species
UACGUAGGCAGCGAGCGUUGUUCGGAGUUACUGGGCGUAAAGGGUGUGUAGGCGGUUGUUUAAGUUUGGUGUGAAAUCUCCCGGCUCAACUGGGAGGGUGCGCCGAAUACUGAGCGACUAGAGUGCGGGAGAGGAAAGUGGAAUUCCUGGUGUAGCGGUGAAAUGCGUAGAUAUCAGGAGGAACACCUGCGGUGUAGACGGCUUACUGGACCAUAACUGACGCUGAGGCACGAAAGCGUGGGUAGCAAACAGG